UACGUAGGGGCAAGCGUUGUCCGGAUUCAUUGGGCGUAAAGAGCGUGUAGGCGGCCAGGUAGGUCGGUUGUGAAAACUGGAGGCUCAACCUUCAGAGGUCGACCGAAACCAUCUGGCUAGAGUCCGGGAGAGGAGAGUGGAAUUCCUGGUGUAGCGGUGAAAUGCGCAGAUAUCGGGAAGAACACCCGUGGCGAAGGCGGCUCUCUGGGACGGUACUGACGCUGAGACGCGAAAGCGUGGGGAGCGAACAGG
rnacentral:rRNA from 1 species